rnacentral:tRNA from 1 species
GUUCUUUUAGUAUCAAUAUAGUACAGUUGACUUCCAAUCAACCAGUUCCGGUAAAAUCCGGAAAAGAAUA